rnacentral:rRNA from 1 species
UACAGAGGGUGCGAGCGUUAAUCGGAAUUAUUGGGCGUAAAGGGCAUGUAGGUGGUUUGAUAAGUUUGAUGUGAAAUCCCCGGGCUCAACCUGGGAAUUGCGUUGAAUACUGUGAGACUAGAGUCGGACAGAGGGUAGUGGAAUUUCCGGUGUAGCGGUGAAAUGCGUAGAGAUCGGAAAGAACACCAGUGGCGAAGGCGGCUACCUGGGUCCAGACUGACACUGAGGUGCGAAAGCGUGGGGAGCAAACAGG